CUUUGAGGCUGCUACAUGGAGGAGGGAAACACCAGAGAAAAAGAUUUGCUUCAUGAAGAAAUGGUCUCACACUGAUGAGAAUCCGGAAAUUAAGCCAUCAGCCAGAUUAAUAGAAGCCUGGAGGUUCUCUGACGAGCAUGUGGAAUAACAAAGUCAGUUUUUAUUGUGGAAGUUAUCACUAUGGAGAUAACGCUGGCAAGACUGCAGCAAACUGGGAGGAGUGAUUAAUUUCAGCAAGACUUGAAUCAAGGAAACCAGUCAAAGUCUGGAGCACAUCAUCUAAUGCAGUUCUGAGCACUGAAGGGAAAUCAUAUUGAAGAUUUCAACCUUGAAGUUAACUGCGAAGUUUGCUGCAGAUGGCGAAUGUU